rnacentral:lncRNA from 1 species
AAAAAUAAUAAUCUUAGAAAUUAACUAAACAUAUUAUAAUAAAAAUAAUUGAAUAUGUUGUGAGUGGAGAAUGAGUCCCACUUAAAAAGUACUUUUUUCGUCCCAACAUUGAUGGUCUAUUUCUUUGGGACACGAGUAUUUAGGAUAACAAAAUCAUAAUGUAAAAAUAUGUAAAGGCGUGUGAGAUCAUAUUAUUCGUAAUGUAAAAUUAUUAUCAAAAUAAAAAAUAUGCUAUUAUAUUUGGGAUAACUCAAUAAGAAAAAUAUGCUAUUAAUAAUAGCACCGAAUGAGUAACAUUAAGGGUUAAUUGCAUAUAAUAUCACGAACUUUGACUGAAAUCCAUUUUCCCCACCAUCUUUAAAAAUUUCAUUUUUUAUCAAAUACUUUAACAUUUGUUCAAUUUCCCCACGAUUUUUUUCUCCCCUCAAAUCGGAAUCUACGUGGCGAUGAUGUGGCUCGCUGGCACACGCCAUUCCGGCAAAUGCUACGUGGCGUCGAUUGGGUUAAUUGCAUAAUUUUAUAUAAUAUCACGAACUUUGCCCUAAAUUCAUUUUCCCCGCGAUCUUUAAAAAUUCCAUUUUUUAUCAAAUACUUUUACAUUUGUUCAAUUUUCCCACGAUUUUUUUUCUCCAUUAUUGUUGUAUUGUUGAGCUCAUAUUGUAAACUUGCCAAUAGUAAAUGAUUUAACUUGAAAAUCAUACAUGAAACCAUAAUAAAAGAGGAAACAGAAUUCAACCAGUUAGAAGUGCUUAGAACAUCUAUUGUGCCAUUAGUUCCACCAAAAAUUCAAACUGCCAAUGUUCACCAAAAAAAUUUAUUUUUAUCCUAUUACAUUCAUUCCACAACUACUUAGCUAGCCAUGGUAGGAAUCAACCAAUUUGAUUAAAAGAACUCAAAUAUGCGAUUCUAUCACACCGGUACACCACCAACAAUAGGCGUAUUUUCUGGCGAAGCACCGGCCAACGACGACGAAGCACAGGCCAGCAAUCAAUAGUAGAUGUGGGCGAAGCACCGGCGCCAAAAAUCAACGGCAACAAUCGGCGCACAUGCACGUUCAAAAGACUGGAAACAAGAAGCAAUCAUCGUCAACAGUCGGCGAGCAAUGGGCACCACUGGUUUGGAAUCGGCGAGCAAUCGGCGAAAUGAAGCAAUCGGUGAGAGGAACCCUUCGACCAAAGGUGGUGGGAAGGAAACGAACAGUUUCUUUCUUCCGGCAAAAGAAAUUAAAAACAAUAAGGGUUUUUUUUUAUUAUUUAGUGUUAUAUAUGUAAUUUAAAAUUGAUAUAUAUUCCAGGUCAGAGUUAUGUGUAAAAUUAAAUCCACGUCACUGCUAUGUCAUUUUUUCGGUUAUCGAAAAAAAAAUUAUUGAGAAAUUGAACAAAUGUCAAAGUAUUUAAUAAAAAAUGAAAUUUUUAAAGAUCAUGGGGAAAAUGAAUUUUAGGCAAAGUUCGUGAUAUUAUAUGCAAUUAACCCUAACAUUAAUAAUGCUAAUUAUUAUUAUUAUGAUUAGGGCUGUCGAUAAAUUGCCAUAUUUCACUAGCCGUUCCCGAACCGUUUUAGGUGUUCGGUUACCCAAUAACCGCUUCGGUUACCCGAUUCGGUUAUUUGGGUAUCCGAAAUACCCAUUUAAAAAAUUAAAAUUCAAAUAAUUUGCUAGAUAGAGGAUUUGAACCUUAAUCUCUAGAAAAUACACAAAGCAACUUAUCCACUAGACUAAAGCUUAUUCUUAAACUUUAAACAUAUCAUAAUUUUAUUUUAGCUAAGACUCGAUUUUUAAAUAAAAAAUAAAUAAAUUAAUGAAUUAAUAAUUAAAAUAUAUAUAAUAUAUAUAUUAAAUAAUUUAUUAAAUAAUUUUUGGUUAUUUCGGUUAACCCGUUUCGGUUAUUGGGUUAACCGAUACCCGAAUUUUUUUUAAAAAUGAUACCCGAAACCGAACCGAUACCUAAAAAAUUCGGUUAUUGGAUACCCAAACCCGAAAAUUUCGGUUCGGUUAACGGAUUAUCCAAAACCUGAUAACCAAUUAGACAGCCCUAAUUAUGAUUGAUAAAUUAUACUCCUUCCGUCCGUCAAGAUUAUGUCACAAUUAUUAUAUCGGACGUCCGUCAAAAUUACGUCACUUUCCUUUUAUGGCAAUGGUCCCACCAUCAUCUUUAAUAUUUUAUCCUUAUUAACACUCUUUAUUUACAAAAAAAUCAACCCAAAAUUCAAUUUCAACCACACAUAAAGAAAUUUUGACAGACCACAUCAUGGUGGAUUCGAAUCUAAGACCUCAUGCCUUGUGUAUUGAUCACCUACCACUAGGUCAACUCACACAUAUAUUAAUAAUGAUAAUUAAUUGUCCCAUUGGGAUGACCUAGUGGUUGGGGUGGUUGCCUGUUGUCCAAGAGGUCACAUGUUCGAAUACUCUCCGCCACAAUAACCACUAGGUGGGGUGUGUGUGUGGUUUGUAUUAUUUAUAAUGUAAUUUAAUAAAAAAACAAAAUAAUGAUAAUUAAUUGCAUUAUGAGUAAAGAAAGAGAUCCAACAUGUGAUAUAAAGUUUUCAAAAAUGAAAACAAUAAUUUUUGUGAACGUCUCAAAAUAACAAAAAAAUCUAGUACUAUUUUUUUUUGGAGAUGAACGAAGUAUUAAUCAAAAAGUGAGGGGCAGACCUGUAAUUAGUGAAGACUGUUAGAGACUGUGCCUGGAGCUCUCUUUUCUUCUCCAAACCCCAUUUUCAAAAACCAAUUAGCCGCAACAGAAGCUCCGAAAAUACAACCCAGAUUCAUUCUUCUUCGGAAAAUGCAGAAGCUGAAAAUUCUGGUGCCACUGAGCCGUUGUUUACACAGAAAUGGCGCUGUUUCUCGGUCAGGAAGAAGCUUUUCCGCUCUCCCUAAUUAUACCCAACACGAUUAUCUCCAACAAGACGAGGCCAGUUUCUUCAAUUUCGAUUUUAUAGUUAUUUUAUGUGUUUAUAGUUCCCAUUUAUCUCGAGUUUCUUUGUAUUUGUAAACUGUUUAUGUUUCUAGGAGGAGCCCUGUUGAGAUUUCACUUAGAUAAUCAAGAAAUUAUUGUAUAUCAGUUGGUAUAUGCUGAGAAUCUGUAUAAAUUUACGUCUUGCUUAUUUAAAGAAUGAGUUUUGAAGGAACCCUUUUUUGUUUGAUUUCAAAUAGCAGGUGUUAGUGGAAGGAAGGGCGAAUUCAAGGGCUGCCAUUUUGAAUAGACCGACUGCACUCAAUGCCCUCACGGCGCACAUGGUUAAUGUCAAGCUGAAUUUUCUGCCUUUUGAUUUAGGGGCGUUUACUUUUAGCAUAGAUAGAUAAAAUAGUAGUAUAAGCUAAUCAAUUGUUUACUAAGAUGGAUUGAAACUUUGGGAUAUCUGAAGGUCCUUGAUAAUUCCUAUCUUAUGAGCUAAUUUUUCUUGGAUCAUAUCCCAUUUAAAGGGUGAGAUUGGAGAAAUCCUAGUGACGAGGAUAAAAAUACUCAAUCAUGUAUCUUAUCAAUCAUGAAAAGUAUACACCUCCCUAGUGUUAUUAUGUUGUCGCUAUAUCUGAUUGUUACGUGCUGCAUAUAGGGAAUUGUAGUUUCAUGUUUAUUUAAGGCAGCUUCUUUUGAAGAUUAUUUGAUUUUAAACAUGGGGACUGUUUGUGGAAAUGUUAAUAAGAUUGUAUUGAUUGCAAUAGCUUGUUUUAAUGCUAGGCUGCUCGGUUAAAUAAACUAUAUGACUCUUGGGAGGAAAACUCGAGUAUAGGAUUUGUCCUAAUGAAGGUAACUGAUGGCUUACUAUUCCGCUUCCAUUAUACCAUGACCUGCCUCCCCAUUUGAAGUUUUUUCUUUUUCUUAAAGGGAAGUGGUGAUAGAGCAUUCUGCUCUGGCACCGAUGUGGUUGAUUUGUAUCGGCUGCUUGAUGAAGGUUGGUCCUCGUGCGGAUUGCUGUUUUUGUAUUUAGUUAGAGUAUCUUGAACUUUCUGAAUUGAUCGAUUAGGUUAUAAUCUGUUCUGGAUUUGCAUAUGGUACUAGUGUUUUUAUGAAUCAUAGAAGUCUCAAGUCUGGUAAUGAUUCAUCUGAAGUUUUCGCAGAGAUUUUACUUGAUUUGAAUUGAUUCGCAGGGAAAACUGAGGAAUGCAAAGAAUUCUUCCAGAGUCUGUAUAAGUUUGUCUAUGUUCUGGGAACAUAUCUCAAGCCACACGUGAGUUCGCUACCUACAUUUUUUUGUAAGUGAGAAACCUACGAAAAGUUAUUUUUCUCUUCAAAUAUGAAGUAUAUGCUGAGUGGUCAUGUAUACUCUGUAUACUUCUACCGUCAAUCUUGUAGAUAGAAUAAGAUGGUUUAGUGUUCUCGACUAUGAGUCAAGCAUGCGAUACAUUCAUAACCUAUACAGUAAUGGGACCAGAGUGGCAAUUCAUUGUGUUCCGUAUGGAUUCGAAAAUGUAAAUAGAAUAUGUGCUGUCUGUGAAAGUCAUGUCGUAUCCAAAGUUCAUGAGUGAAGCACACAGAGAUGGCCCUUAAGAAGUUUAACUAGUGGUUGAUUACAAAUUUUUCAGUAUAUUCUGAUAAAUAAUUGGGUAUUGAUGGUAUGGAUUUCCCCCCCAAAAUACUGGGGUUUUUAUAAUCACGUUACCUUUGGCAUGAUGUUGUCCUAAAGUUUGUCAAAUCACAUGUCUUGGCAAAGUGGAAAUGCUCAUGUGAUUAUUCAAAUCAUAGUACUUUUAUGUUUAUUAAUAGAAUUAAUAACUGGGGUUCUUUUUUUCUUUAUAAAUUGAAGGAAAACUUAAUUCAGCUAAAUGAUUUCUCAUUAACUUUUCUUUGUUAGGUGGCUAUAAUGGAUGGUUUUGUGAUGGGAGGCGGGGCAGGUAUUUCACUUCCCGGGAUGUUCCGCGUUGUAACUGAUAGAACUGUAUGAAACUGCUCCCUGAAUGGAUUUCCUGACUAAACUACUUUCGGCUUCAGUUAUUUGUUUACAAUCCCAACUGAAAUUAGGACAGUCAAGACAGAAGUAUUAGUGUUCUUCUUACUGUUUCUUUCUUUGUUCAUUUGUAUUUUCUUUCUUCAAGAACUUCCAUUUUUGGGUUUUAAUGUUGAGUCGACUCUCCUUAUUUAAGGUCAACCCAAGUAGAUUUAAAUUUAGCCAGAAAAACGAAGAGCAUUGUCACGAAUAUGCCUUAGGCCCUUAGUCUGUAAUGGCUAUUAGUAAAGAAAUUACCUUCCUUGCUGAAUAUAUGUCUUUGUCAUCAGCCUUUGGAUGCAAUUAGGUUGCUUGUCUGAUUGUUUUUGAUAUGCAUGUUAAUGAUAUACAUGGGGUUCCUUUUGUUGAGACUUGAUCCUUUUAUAAGUUGGAAUUUCAUUUACUCAGUCGAUAACCGGAAGUUUUAUUGAUUCUGCAAAAGAUUUAUUGGAUUGCAUUUGAUUUUUAAAAAAUAUUUCUUCCAUAAAUCACACCUAGUUAAAUUACUAUAUUAGUGCUUACGCUGGCAAGCCCGAAGCAUAAGAUGACAUGGCCGGUACUCCCGAACAGUAAACAAGAAAUGUAUCGUGUAGGCUGUAGGCAUGAUAAACUCUAGCAUCAGUUUAUAAAUUGUUUAUUGAUGAAUCACAGGUCUUCUCGAGUCCGGAGGUUCAAAUAGGUUUUCAUCCUGAUGCAGGGGCUUCAUAUUAUCUCUCUCGCCUCCCCGGCUAUCUAGGUAUGACUGGAAAAGAUAAAGUUUGAGGUUUGAUUAUAUUUCAUGAAUCUUAAAGUUGAUAUCAAAGAAGUCAUUAAGAGAUUAUAAGGUUUGAAAGAUUUAUGUUUUGCCGGUAUCUUGAUUGAUGCUCCUGAAAUAUUUUACUUAGUUUUGUUAAUUUUUGAACGCGAUGAUCCCUUGAAGAAUUUGUUAUGAUGGAUGCUAAGAAAAUAAUGUAUUAAUGAUGACUUUCUCUACACAGGAGAAUAUUUAGCUCUUACAGGAGAAAAGCUAAAUGGUGCUGAAAUGAUGGCCUGUGGUCUCGCCACUCACUACUCACUGAAGGAAGUUAGUCGUCCACAGCACGCCUACAGCUCGUUUCUUAGUUUAGUUUCAAUUUAAAAGCAUCUUCUCUAAUUCCACUCCCCCUUUACAGAAGCUUCCUUGGAUUGAAGAGCGUCUUGGUAGUUUAAUAACUGACGCCCCUUCAGUCAUCGAAUCUUCUCUUGCUCAAUAUGGCACUUUAGUCUACCCAGACGAGAGGAGUGUGCUUCACAAGUAAUACUUUUCAUUCAUGCCACAGUUUUUAACAAACGGUUAAAUAUCAACUAUUUUUUAAAGAUCCUGUCUGUUGAGCCCCUACUUUAUUUUCGUGAUUCAGGAUUGAAACGAUUGACUCCUUAUUCUGCCAUGAUACAGUGGAGGAAAUUGUUGAAGCUCUGGUAAGUUGCCUAUUUGAGGCGUGAUUUCUUUUCGGUCGAUCUUAUGUGCAUUUUUUAACAUGGCUUUGUGAUGAUAUUAAUUAUGAAUAAUCUCUCAUCAACAUGGAAUCUAUGGCCUGAUCACCACAUUGUGAAAUCCAAGCUGCCAUGAAUGCAGAUAAAACCGACACUCGUAUAUUUCAAAAACACAUGCCUGUCCCAUCAUUUUUCUUUGUCAAUGUGCUUAUUGUUGGAAGCACAAAAUCUUUAGGGCUACUUAUUUUCACUUUGCAGGAAAACGAGGCAGCGGAAUCUGGCGAUACAUGGUGUACCGACAUGCUUAAAAAAAUCAAAGAGGCUCCUCCGUUGAGCUCAAAAGUUGCUCUGCAAUCAGUAAGUCUGAGAAUUUCUACCCCUGAGAAGUCUAUUUGAAUUGCUUACAUGCUCCAUAAUCUGACCGUCCCCAUCCGUGCUAAAUCCCAAGAUUCGAGAAGGUAGAUUUGAAACUCUUGACCAGUGCCUCGCCAGGGAGUACCGUGCAUCCCUCAGAUUCAUAUCCAAAGAGGUCUCAAAGAUUUCAGCGAGGUAUGGCCUCUCAAUUGGUGCGUGAUGUGGAUUAGUUUUGGUUCAAUGUUCAACACUUGUUUAUAUACCACAUUUUUUUUCCUCCUCUUGUAGGGCGUACGAGCAAGAUUGAUCGACAAGGACUUCGCCCCUAAGGUAUGUGUUCAAUGUGUCAAGUAAAUCUCUUUGGAUAGAAAACUUGUUUGAUAAAAAUAAUAAGUACAAGCCAAUCCACCCCGUACUCUGAUGGAUCGAACAAUUUUGAGCUUGUUCGAUCAUUUCAUCCUUAAAUACUCAAAAGCACCCAAAGUAAAUGUCUCCUGGGAAAAAAAUAAUAAUAACAACCAACUAUGGUACCUGAAAAUUUCAGUGGGGCCCGUCUAAGCUGGAGGAGGUAAGCGAUGACAUGGUCGCCUUCUUCUUCUCACCUCUCAGUGAAGUCGAACCGGAGCUGAACUUGCCCGUUGCAGUACGAGAGCCUGACGUGUGAAAGAAAAAACAUGAUUUUGCAGAUGAGAUUAGAGGGUUUUAUAGCUUUUUUUGCUCUGUGCCAAGUCUGAUUUAUAUUCCUCUUCUGUUACAACUUUUUGGGAUUUUCAGAAGUGUGUUGAUUGACAGGCUUAUAUAUGUGUUUGGAGCUAAAACCUGAUAAAUAGUAGCAGCAGAUGUAAAAGGUUGUUCAAUCAAGCAGAGACCAAGCUUCUUCUGCAUUGGGUAUAAUAAUUAGUUGCAUUGGGUAUAAUAAUUAGUUUUACACAUUUUUUCAUUUUUGGUGUUAGCCUUUUCAAGAUUUCAAUUAUAUUAGUCAUUAGAUAGCAAAUACAUAUAGAUGGUGAAUUGAAAAUUUGAGUUGAAUAAAGAUAAGAUUCAUAUAUCUCAAACUGGAGACAUAGGAUGUGCUCUUUGGUGGAUAAAUUUAUCAUGAGAAAAUGAGAGAUAAUAAAAAUGUAUGCCUUUAAAUGUCUCAUUUCUUUUAUCUCAUUUUCUAUAAAAGAGAAGCUCACCAUUUUUUGUUCUUUCUUUUCACUUCAAGGAAGCAUAAUAUUAUCACUCUAAAAAUGAAGUGAUAAUAUUAUCCCUUGUUUAUUUUGAUAAAUUGAAAUUUUAGAAUAUCUCAAGAUCAAGUACAUUGAAAGCAUGUAAAGAUAUGUCUAGACGUUUUUCUAAAAAGUUAUUUCAUCUUCUAAAAAAAUAAAUUAAUUUUCAUUAUUAAUACAUAACAUUUUAAUUUAACUUGAAGAUUGAUUCAAAUUCAACAUUGAAAAUUAAUUAAGAAAUAGAAUUGGAACAAAAAAUGACAUAAUUUUAACUAACUAGUAUAACAAAUUAAUGUAAAAUGUUAGGCCAUUAACAUAGAUACUACAAUUAUUAAAAUAAUAUAUUAUAUUCCUUUUUUUUUAUAUUAUAUGCAUAUAUAAUAAAAAAAAUUCAAAAUUUGGGAGCGGGCUUCAGUCCCUGGAGCCAGGAAUUAAGUUGGGGGGGGGGCUGUGCGGGGGUUCGGGGGGCGGCAAGGUUCCCCCGAAAUUUUUUUUUUUGGGUCAUUCUCNUUAUAGCUUUUUUUGCUCUGUGCCAAGUCUGAUUUAUAUUCCUCUUCUGUUACAACUUUUUUGGGAUUUUCAGAAUUGUUGAUUGACAGGCUUAUAUAUGUGUUUGGAGCUAAAACCUGAUAAAUAGUAGCAGCAGAUGUAAAAGGUUGUUCAAUCAAGCAGAGACCAAGCUUCUUCUGCAUUGGAUUAUCUUGAUCCAUUUUUUAUUUUUUUUGAAAUGACACUAACACUAUUUUACUUUAUAAAUGACACUAUUUCGAAAAUAACAUUAACACUAUUUUUUUGACAAAUGACACUAACAUUAUAUUGAAAUAACACUAACACUGCGUGUAAAAUAACACUAACACUAUGUGUAAAUGAUUGGGUAUAACAAUUAGUUUU